rnacentral:rRNA from 1 species
CGCACAGUAAACGAUGAAUACUAGCUGUUUGCGAUAUACAGUAAGUGGCACAGCGAAAGCGUUAAGUAUUCCACCUGGGGAGUACGCCGGCAACGGUGAAACUCAAAGGAAUUGACGGGGGCCCGCACAAGCGGAGGAACAUGUGGUUUAAUUCGAUGAUACGCGAGGAACCUUACCCGGGCUUGAAUUGCAGACGAAUGGAUGUGAAAGCAUUCAGCCAGCAAUGGCGUCUGUGAAGGUGC